UACAGAGGUCUCGAGCGUUGUUCGGAUUCAUUGGGCGUAAAGGGUGCGUAGGUGGCUAGGUAAGUCGGAUGUGAAAUCUCGGGGCUCAACCCCGAAACUGCAUUCGAUACUGCCUGGCUAGAGUACUGGAGAGGAGAUUGGAAUUUACGGUGUAGCAGUGAAAUGCGUAGAUAUCGUAAGGAAGACCAGUGGCGAAGGCGGAUCGUCUGGACAGUUACUGACACUGAGGCACGAAGGCCAGGGGAGCAAACGGG
rnacentral:rRNA from 1 species